rnacentral:lncRNA from 1 species
GUAAAUAUGCAGAAGAUAAUGUACGUCACUGCUUUUUGCGUUCUUCUCCUGGCCUGAAUAUCCAGUAUGCAACCCUUUUCUAAGUACGUCUGCAGCGGCCCGUCACAACUCCCCCCGCUACCUUGGGCUCUUCCGCUCGGGAUUGUCCAAUGGGACGCGCCUCUCUUGGGACUGCGCAGGCGCCCCUCGGACUGACACCUGCGCUGGGGGCCUUCGGUUUCCGCGUCCCUGGACACUGGGGGCUUUAGGAGGCUCCUGCCAUUCCGCCUUUCUGCAGAGGUACCAUUGAGUGAAAUUUGGGAAGCAGUGCUGUGAUCAAGCCACCUGCGACAGCCACGUUUUUCAGGAUAAAGUUCAAGUUCAUUAACAUGGCAUACAAAGCUGUUUCCAGUACUUCAAAAUCCCAUUUCGCAAGUUACCUGCGACCCUGCGUCCAGUCAUUGUAACUUCAUUCAACAGUUCAGGUCAGGUAGGAGGAACACACGAGUCUCAACGCUCAAGUACACACACACACACACACACACACACACACACACAACCUGCUUAUAAUGUCCUCUCAUUCUUAGGUUAUGACCCAAUAUCGGAAAGGGGCAAAAAUAAGUUCUGUUCAAAAUAAGGCAGGAUUUGAAACAUAAUUCAUGACACCAGCUACAUAAAUCAUAAAAUCCCAUUUGUCCAUUGCAAAAGGUCCUAUUAAGCAUUAAACUCAAAUUAGGAGUGCCAUCUUGUGGACACAUCUACCACUUCCACAUCAUGUCACUUCCUAGCCAAUUCCGUGGCUGCUCUCACAGUGGAGGUCUCUGCCACAACUCUAGCAUUUUAUUGCAGAAGAAAACCCAAUCCUUGAACUGGUUUCUGUGUAGAACACAUUGAAAGCCCUGGGAGUGGAAACCAGCAGACAGGAAGAGUAGACAUGGAAGAGCAGAUGAGUUCAUUGCUGGAAAGCUCGAAUUGUUAGUUUUGUUAAUGUGCAGUCCAAUUUGACUCCAUGGAGCCCAACUACCUACCCUGAGCCCUCGUGGUGAGUGUGUUUGUGCAUGGGGUGGGAGAAUGUAAAGGGAAAGGAGGCAACAGUAGGAGUA